ACUGUCUGCUCACUGGUGGACUGAUUGGCGGUGGAGGCUCAUUUGAAUGGUGACUGGAGCGGACCCCUGCCUGCUGCUGCUUCCGGAUGGAGGACCAGCCGUGUCGGUUGUCCUGUGCAUUGCAGAUCUGUAGCGACUGGACGUGCGUGUCUGGCUCUCCUCACCUGUGGCUGCCUGGAAUCUUGACCUUGCUGGAGUGUGCGGCCUGCUGAAAUGCUGCGGAGGUGACCGGCAUGCUCAUUGGAGUCACUGGGGGAUCUUGGCCACUUACUCUCUGCCCCUCAUUCUUGCCUGUGCCUGGAGACGACGUGGACAUGGGAGUCGGCGUCCCUGGGAGUCAUGUCCCUGGGAGCCUGCCUGCUGCGGCCGCGGCGGGAGCCUGUCGUAUUCGAGUGCCGCUGCUGGGGACAAUGCUGCAGACGCCUGAGACCUGCUGAUCGCGGCAGCGGCUGACUCGUCAGGUUCUCUCCUGGUGUGGCUGGAGUAGCGGUGGAAGGGAUACGUUCCGCUGCUGCAGGGGAGCUGAGCAUUGAGGCGGCUUCACAUUGAUCACCCCUCCCGGCUGACCUGAGCAUCUUACACACAAUGUGCUACUGUAUGGCUCAAGUGGACAUACAUAUCUUUACUGGAUGUGGACAAGGCCAUUUUGCUUGGAUUCCAUUUCAUGUUUUACUUACUUCGUUUGAUACAAUCAAGAUGAGGGGAGUGUGGAUGACGUCUUGGAGUGUUGAAAAAAAGCACAACUGCUCACCCUACUGUCACUCCCAUGACAUCUGAUGAUGAUGACGCUGCGGAAGCAGGUUCCUCAAUAGAAGUCUAGAGCAGCAGAAGGCGGCCUCCUGAACCACACCAAAAAUGGACACAUGUGCCAACAAAGAAAGCAAGGUCUGAUGUCCACUCCCAACCACAGCAGGCUACCCCGCCACGAAGAUUGUCUGCAGUUUCUUUGGUUCCCCCACUCCAAAUUCUGGACACACCUCCAAGACGACAACCACACUCCCCUCAUCUUGAUGAUUCAAGUACUGCUACCACAUCCCUCCACAACACCAGCAACACAGUGACAUAGAUGAGACAAUCAUUUUACAAAUGCAGCCAGUAUUUGAAGGAAACACCCCCCCCCCCAGCAGUGUGAGUACACCACCACCGAUAAACACACCACCACCACCACCACCACAACACAGCCCAACAACGCCAGUAGCACAAGGCCCUGAUCAAGUGUUUUGGGAUAGUUGGGCUACACAGCAGGCCUCUAAUCAGGAUUGCCUGCAUAGGCAGACACAAAUAUUUUCAAGCCUACCAUCUCACCUCACAAGAAUCAGCAGAAAUAUCAGCCGCUAAAAUGAACCAACCACGAGAAUUGCCAAUACCAUGGAAAUCAUGCGGGCAGACAUGACACAUGUCCUGGGCAACUUACAACGCCUAAUGGAAGAACAGCACAGACAACAGCAAAGCUACCUCAACAUUUUAGAAACCAAUCAAAUGCUCAAUGAAUCUAUAACCAGAAUUUUAGAAAAUAACAAUGCUGCAAUGCGUGAACUCAAUGCCACACUCACUAACCUCAAUGAAACACUCAGCUCCCAGCACCAACAGCAACCAAGCAGCAGUUCUGGUACGACAACUCCACUUAUAUCACCUGUGUCCUCACCACCAAGGUGCUCCACCAGAUCACGCCCACAGGACAGUGGUAAAGGCAAAGGCCCGUCCAAGCAGCCGCCCAAAAAAAUAUAAAUAAUAUAGAUACAGAUUUCUGUUUAGUAGAAGAAAACAAACACAGUUACUAAGUGUAUGAUUGUCUGUAUAUAUAUACCACUUAGCACAUUACUAAUUUAAACAACAUCAUUAAUUAUAACUGUUACAAACAACAAAAGGUAUUUUUUCAUGACAAUGAUUAUUGACAUUCUUUGUAUUUUUUUUUGAGCAUAAAAAUGUUGUCUGUGCUACACAUUGUCCUUAGCAUGCAGAAAUAAGUCUGCAUUAUUUGAUUUUCUAAUGAAUACUUCUUGAUCCCAAUCAGUCUCACAUACUGCAGCUUCACUAAUUGGCAGCCAUACAGAAUGUCCUUAGCAUGCAGAUAUACGUCCGCAUUAUUUGAUUUUCUAAUGAAUACUUCUUGAUUCCAAUCAGUCUCAUAUCCUGCAGCUUCACUAACUGGCAGCCAUGCACAUUAUCACAUGACCCAUACAACUUACAAUUUAACAUUUUACUCAUUUACAUUUCUAAAAUAGGCGACAUUACAAUCAUAACAGUAUUGUGGUACAAGAGAGUGUCCUAAUAUGUUGAACCUAAAUUGUGAUUAUGACUUUUUUAAGGUUUUACAUUAUUGUCCUGCCCUGUUUGUGUGUUGUAAAAAGGACUAAUAUGUUUUUAAAACAUGAAGCAUAACAAAACAAAAAAAAACAUUUCAAAUGCCAAAGUAUUGUGUGUAAUAAUGGAUCAAUCUUGUUUACUGUGUUGAGUCUAACAAAUCUGCAGAUUUCCUCCAGCAAACAGAAACAAAUAAAA